CCUGGAUUUUAAAACACAAAUAAAUAGUAACAUUGAAAUGAGAUAAGAUUUACCACAAAUUUAAUCUGACAUAUUUAAUGAUAUAUAUUAUGAUAAUUAUGGCACCUGAAGACCAGAUAUAAAGAGGAAGCCACUGACAUAUUUGACAAUAUUAGCUAUUCCUGGGAUUCCCUGAGACAAGAGAUGGGAAAGAGAAAAGAUAAAGUGCAUGAGCUUCUCUCCUGCCAGAAGGGCACAGGGUACUGCUCCAGUCCUCCUUCCUUAAGAAGGAUUUAAGGUGUGCCACAGUACCUGGAAGGAGAAACCAGCUUGAUGCCCCAGAGAGACUGAUUUCAGUGUUCAUUUAGAAGUCAAAGUUAUCAGGUCAGAUCUCUCUCUGAUAACAGCAGAGAGAAGCCCUGCCUGGAGAGGGCAGUGGGGAGGGUGGGCCUUUGUUCAAACAUCAAAAUACUGUGGGAACAAACUGCUGGUUAGUGAGAGAUGGUGGGAGGACAGCUAGAUAUAUCAGCAAGCUGGAAAAAUAGCCACAUUUUCAGUACAACCUAAUAAUAAUCUUUACUCCUAGUAUUUUCUUAAAGUGAAGCUUUUUACUACAUAACACAUUCCAAGUAUACUAGGAAUUGAAAUGAGAAAGUCCAGAUUCCAGGGUACCUCUUAAAUACGGGCAGAGGAUUUUAGACUUCAUAUACCAGGGCAGAGGAUUUUAGACUUCAUAUACCAGUUCCUUGAUCAUCAGUAAACUCGUCUCUAAAAUUUGACCUAAAGGUCAUUGGAAGAGUAGUUCUUAGGUUAAAAAAAAAAAAAAAAAAAAAAAGCCCAGAAAUAGGUCCCUGUGCUGCCAAAUGAGUUCUGAACUGGUGAAUUCCUAAAAAACAGGACACAGCUUCCUGCAAAUUAUUAGGAAGUAGUUUUUGCCUCCAAUUUACUGGCUUUGUAUUACAACGUCUAUCGAGGACGCUGGGUUUCCCCCACCCUUGCACUCCCUUCCUCCUUGGAUGGUGGCAGAUUUGGGACAAGGACCAGGAGAAAACUGAGCUGUAGUGCUAAUGAGUAGAUAUGUGAAGAGUGAAGAGGAUAUAUAUUUUUUUAAAUCUUGUCUCUGCAUAAUGUACCUACCUGAAUUCCUCUUUUGGAUUCUUUAUCCUUAUUUAAACCUGUCAUUUGAGCAUCUGAAGUAAAAAUAUGGGCCCAGGAUCUACUUCUUAAUGAGAAAAGCACCUCUUCUCCCCAACAUCCUCACACGGAGAAAUCAAUUAAAACAGCCUCCAGUCAAAGGUCAAGAAGAAAUCAGAGGGGAGCUGGGGAAAUUAGCAGUUAGCAGGCAGGUGAGCCUGGCCAUGCUGGGUCUUUCCAAGAUCUCUAAGUUGUCUCUCAUGAACGAUCUUUCCCUGGCUGGGUUUGACUUUUGUGGGUUUUGGUUUAAUUUUGCUUGAUUUUCUUACUGUCGAUAAGUAAGGCAUUGCGGUAGUGUAGGAUUGGUAAGGCAUUAAAGUUUAGGAAGUGAGCCAGGAAGGAAAAUGGCCAAGGAAACAGCCUGGCUGCCUUCAGACUAGCCUUCAAAGUCUUGGGGACAAAUGGGGUCGUUGCAAAAGCUCAUGGUCCAGCUGAACUCACCAGGGUCAGAAGAGCCACGUGCAAAUUGGAGUCAAAGUGCUGUCAUAACGAACAACACGUACUCCUUGGGGGUGGUUUUCACCUACACACAGAUCUCCCUGGGGAACCGCACUCAUUUGGAUUUUUUUUUUAAUUUGCACUGGGUUUUUUGAGUUUGUGUUGAGUUUGCAUUUGAGUUUGCAGAUUCUGGUCAUGGCCACUUUCUUUGUGACCAACACUUAUAGCAUCUCCCACUCCAGUCGUGCAGCUCUGAGGUGGCUGCGGGAGUGCUGCCCAUGAGUGGGCAGGAUAAGCUGCGUGCACGCCCUGCAGGUCCCAGCUGGGCAGAUCUCUGCCUCCUACCCUGUCCUCUGCAACUCAGAGGCACCUCGGGGACAACAGGGCAACCACAUGAGGACAUCUUCAGAUGCAGAAAAAGGUAGUCGUCACCAUGCCAUCACCCUGAAUCCUUAGUUCCACUCCUGACUGGUUCAAACAAACCUUUUUCUAGAGCUCUGACCAUUGCGGAAAAAAAGUUAAGACACGAAUCACCUAGAUUUUGAAACUCCAGACUUUUCUGGUUUGGUUUUGCAUCAUCACAAGCAGCAUCAGAAAAAAGGAAGGGAAAAGAUUUUCAAGGACUCUACACAGAAAACUAUAAAAUAUUAUUUAGUGGAAUUAAAGACAAAACAGGAGGAGGGAUAGAUCAAGUUUGUGAAUUACAAGAUUCCAUGUUUCUAAAAUGUCAGUUCUCCUCUAAUUAAUGCCAUAGAUUCAGUGUAAACCCAGUCAACAACCAAGCAGACAUUUUGUAUGUGUGAUCAUUGACGGAGUAGUUCUAGGACUACAGAAGCAUUGCAAAGGGCCAAGAAUAGCCAAAACAAUCUUGAAAAUUAAAUUUCCAAGACAUCAAAACUUACGAUAAAGCUGCAGUGAUUAUGACACCGUGGUAUUGCAUCAAGGAUUGGCAGAGACCAAUGGAACAGAAUAGAGUGAAAAAUCAGACCCACGCACGUGGUCACUUGACCUAUGACAAAGGUGGCACUGCAGAACAGUGGGAAUAGGACACUCUUCUCAAUAAAUGGUACCGAGUCAACUGGAUUACUCAGAUGCCCUUUCAGGCCUGAGGUACUCAUUGUUCCGGUGGCUGGGAGAGUUAGAUGGCUGCUCACUGCUCACAGCUGCCUCUCCUCCUGGGAAUUUCCCGUAGCCAAAGAAAGCAGCUUCUUCCAAGAUGAUUCUCUCUCCCUGAGGAUACUCCUACAUCAAUGACUGGUCAACGCAAGUAUGGAAAGUCCUGACCCUUCCUGGAUUGGCCUCUCAAGGACCAUUCUAGUUUAAGAGUUCCCCUUGGGAACAGCUUAGGUCAUGAAAGCAACUGCAUCCUCAAACUUAAGUCUCCCUCCACCCCAUCUAACUCCGUAUACUCCCUCUCAGAAGUUUACCCCAGUAAAACUUCUGCAUACAAAUCUUAGAGUCCCAGAUUCUGCUUCCUAGGGAACUCAACCUGGAACACACUGGAAAAAAUUAACCUUGACACUACCUCAUACCUUACAUACAAUUAAUUCCAAGUGAUAGUUUAUCUAAUGUGAGUCAUAAAAGAUAAAAUUUCUAUGAGAAUCUAACAUAACCAAGCCCCCACUACUUUGGGGUUGAAGAAAGAUUUCUUAAACAAGACACAAAAGCACUUACCAUACAAAAAAAGGCUGAUAAAUUGGACCACAUUCAAAUUAAGAUGUUCUGUUUAUCAAAGGAUACAAUUUAGAGUAAAAAGUCAAGCCACAAAUUCAGGGAAGAUAAACACAAUGCCUAUAAGCCACAAAGGAUUUGUAUAAAAAAAUACAUAAAGAAAGACCAAAAAAUCAAUAAGAAGAUAGAAAAAUCCAAUAGAAAAAAAGAAAAGGGUAAGAGGUUUGAAUGGGUACUUCCCACUCCCCAAAAGAUAUCAAAAUAGCCAGCAAACAAAUGAAAGGGGAUUCAAAGUUAUUAAUACUCAGAGAAUGCAAAUUAAAACCACAAUUAAAUAUUCACCUCAAACCCACUGGAAUGGCAAGAUUAACACUACCAGGUGUUGGUGGAAAAUGUAGAGCACCUAGAAUACUCAGACACAGCCUGAAGAAACUUGUGUUACAUAGUCUAAUAAAAUUGCAUACUUGCAUGUAUGUCUCUUUUAGGAAUAGCCCCAACAGAAAUGAGAGGACGUAUAUAUCAAAACACUUACGUGUAAAUGCUCAUAGAAAUGUUAUUCAUAAUAACAAAAAAUUAGAAUAGUCCAAAUGCCUGUUAAUUUUUAUAGACAAUAAAAAAAAAACAAGGCAAGGAAAAUAGAGUCAAAACAGAGGAAGCGUAAUCAGGAAGUGCCUGAAAAGCAAUGAAAUUAUGUUGAGGUAGAGGAUCUAAAAAUUAGGACAGUCUUGAAUAAGAGAAUGGCAAAGGGGGAUAAAAAUUUAACAUUUUAGAUAUGGUGUCUCAAACAAUUAAAGAAUUAUUAACACUUGAUUUAUUUAUAGAAAUGUAUAUAAUUCAUUCCUUCCUCUAACUAGAGUAUUAUACACACCCAGCUUAUAAAUUGAAAUGAGCCAAACACCAAGAAAGUAAUGCAUCCCGUUACUGGGAUCUCUGCUCCUCUGAGUUGUUCAGCACAGUAGCAGCGCACCAGAAACUUGCACCACGACCACCAGCCUGCUAGCAGGCAGCUGUCCUGAAUGUAGGCCCAUGAUAGUUAAUUUUAUAUAUCAACUUGCCUGGGCUAUAGUGUCCAGAUAUUUGGUCAAACGUUGUUCUUGAUGUUUCUUGUGAGGGUGUUUUUUGAAUAAGAUGAAUAUUUAAUUGAUGGACUUAGAGCAAAGCAGAUUGCCCUCCAUCAUAUAGGUGGGCCUCAUCUAAUCAGUCAAAGGGCUCAAUAGAACAAACACCCCACCCCCCACCCUACAUCUCCCUACCCCAGCAAGACGGAAUUCCGCCAGUAGACUGUCUUUGGUCUUGAACUGCAACUCUUUCUGGAGUCUCCAUUCUGCCAACCUAUUCCAUCAGAUUUUGGACUCACAAAGCCUCUUACAAUCAUGGGAACCAAUUCUUUAAAAUCAACAGAUCAAACUCUCAGUCUCUCUCUGUCUCCCUCUCUCUCUUCCUUUCUCUCCCUCCCUUUCUACCCCCCCCCCACACACAUGCAUGCACACACACCCCGUCUUGUUUUCCAGAAAAGCCUGACUAACACAAGGCCUAAUAUCUGGGAACAGCCAGUUCCCCCACCUGGAUGAGCCUGGCAUGAAUAUUACUAGCUUCCUGGUCCUAAGUGCAGCCUGCCUCUUCAGUCCUUCUAUGCUCUCUGAAACUCACAGUCUUAAACAUAUCCUUUCCUCCCAGUCUUUCAAACUCUACCAUUUCCUCUGUGUCUUUACAGGGACCAAGCUGAAGACUCUCUGCAUUUGGGGACAGAGUCAUGUGUCUGUGCCAGGCUCUGGCUCCCCACUGAGCUUCCGUGUCUGCUCUGACAUCCGCUUCUCCUCUGAGCUGGCUUGUCCUAUCCUGAGUGCCCCUGACACCUCAGUCUCUUCAGGAUCCUUUCCGUUGAGUUUCUAUUGAACAGGUUGAAACUGUCCAUAAAAGAAACUCUUCUAUUUAGUGUCAAAAGCAUCUCAGAUUUCAAUUUUUUUCUUUAAUGAAAGCACAUUCCCCAAGGUCAGUCAGUCUCGCUCAGCGCUGCUACUCAACAAGACAAAUAUUCUAAGGUUACAGUUUCUUCCCUCUGGCUCACUCCAAGAAAUCCUUUGUGGCCCUAAGGUUGAUUCACUACCUGAUCAUUCUUCAGCUUAGAAUCACUCAAGGGCUUAUAAAGACAUGGUCUCAGGCCCCCGUUCCCAGAGUUUUUGCCUCAGUAUUUCUGGGUGGGGCCUGGGAGCUUGCAUUUCUAACAUGUUCCCAGGUCAGGCUGAGGCUGUGGGUCCAGGGACCACACUUUGAGAACCACUGUUCUGGCUCUAGUUCUUUAAGUGCUGCCUCCUGUGCCUGUUCCUCCAUUGACUACCUGUAGUCCCUAAUUCUUUUAUAGAUAUCUCUCCUGGUCCACGAUGAAACUUGGAGGGGUAAAGGGAAUGGGAGCUCUCACAGGCUUCCACUGCAGGGAUAGGCCAAAAAAAGGGGGAAUUCAAUUCAACAUUGCAAACACUUUUUUUUUUUUUUUUUGAGUGGCUGCUGUGUUAUAAAGCACUGGCGGGGAGGGGUUAAAGAGAUAAAUGAGUUUCUGUUCUCAAGAAACUUAACAUGUAACAAAGCGAAAGCCCAGCAUAGCACUAACUAUAGGAGAAGGAAACAUGUAUUAUAUUACAGUACAUUCCAAAGCCCUUAGGACUACAGCCAACACUGUUGUUCUACCAAGCAUGUUCCCUAGGCCGACCCCACAGGUCAAGGGCAGACUUUUUCUCAGGGUCAUGAAAGUUCAGGGUCAACAAGUCCACAAUCCUGAGGGAGCAUCUCCUUAAAUUUCACAUCCUGAGGGUCUCGCUAUCCUCCUACCAGUGUUGGCAUGCCAGAGGUCACAAAAGAGUUCUACAGCUGCUGAUGGAUUCCAGCCUUUCUCUCCAUACAGGUAUUUUCUACCAGAGGAGUUGGCCAGGCGGGUCUGAACCACACAUACAGUUGGUGAUGGAGCCAAGAGCUCAUGAAGUGACAAUGCAAAGUGCAUAGAGCAAGAAAGAGCAGAGGGCCUAAGGCUGAUAUGUGAGGAAUGUCAGCCUUCCAGGGAUGGGAUUUAGAAAGCUAAGUGGGAAGAAAAGCGGGACAGUUGGAGAUCGGCUUUGAUGCCUGAUUGAAGUGUGUUAGAUGUGGACUUGCUUUCGGGAAGCUUCCAGGCUAGUAGGGAAAACAAGAUAACUAUUCUAGGACCAAGCACUAAAUCAGCGUUAAGGAGAGAGUGUAACAAAGAGGGAUAAGCUAAGGCUUGCCUUCACUUGGGCAAUAGGAUCCUCAGUUCUUCCAUUUAACAUUGUUGACAGUGAUGUUGAUUGCAGAGUGUUUUUAUGAAAAGUACAUAAAAUAAACUCCUAAGCACAGUCGCUGGCUCACAGUAAUCAUUCCCUAAGUUGUUUUUAUUGUAAUUUCUGUAGUGAUUCUGUUGCUGGUAGUGAUGAGUCAAGUUUCCAAGAAAGAGAGGGAGUUGUGGGCUGCGCUGGGGGUGAUGGGUGAUGGACAAUGGGGAGUUGGAAGAGUCGGAACAUUGAGCAGGAUUCACCUGCCUCCUGGGACAGGACACGUGAGCAAGGAGCAAGGUCGGUGAUUGUCAAAGUGUAGGAACGGGCCGGAGGAUCAGUUGGUUCAGAGUGUGUACUGCGUGGGGGUUGAGGCAUUAAUAGUAUGUUUGUUUUUUGUAACUAAGAAUGGUGGAAGAUGGCAACCAGACUUAUGUGGUGAUCGUUUCACAAUGUAUACAAAUAUUGAAUUAUUAUGUUGUGCAUCUAAAACUAAUAUGUUUUAUGUCAAUUAUAUCUAAUUUUUCAAAAAAGGAGUAGAUAGGGUCCGCACUAUGAAUCUUGGGAUAGGAAGCUUGGGCUUUGUCCUAGAGUUCAUCAAGAACCUCUGAAGAUUGAUGACAAAAAUUAACAUAUUAUUGAAAACAAUCUUUUAGUGAGAUUAAUUUAUAAAUUGCAAGUAGUAGUUGGGGAGAGUGAUGCCACGUAGUUCAGCAUGUCAAAUAUGAGAUGAUGCAAUGUUAGUAGUGGAAAUGGAAAGAGAAUAUUCAAGACAAAUGCAAAAGAAAACAUCAAUUUAAAAGAGAAGACAAAGGCAUUAGGGUUAGAUAUGAAGGUGUGGGCAGAAGCAGAGGCAACUCUUUCCUUCAUACCUGGGCUUCCUACCCGGUCAGGUCUCUUAGAGAACAUUUGUAUAACCUGCUUGUGCUUCCAUAAUGGAAUGCCCGACUGGGUGGCUUAAACAAGACAUUUAUUUUCUCAUAGUUCUGAAAUGCAAAAAUUCAAGAUCAAGGUGCCAUCACGGAUGGUUUCUGGUGAGACCUUUGUUCCUGGCUUACAGGUGGCUCCCUUCUCACUGAGUCCUCACCUGGCCUUUCUGCUAUGCCCUCACUGUGAGACAGGGGUCCCUUCUCUUCUUAUAAGGAAGCCAGCCCUAUUGGAUUAGGGUCCCAUGCUGUGAUCGCAUUUAACUGUAAUUCUCUCUCUAAAGGCUCUGUCUUCAAAUACAGUCACAUUGUGGUGGGGGGACUAGAGCUUCAUCAUAUGAACCUGGGCCGGGGGUGGUAGGGGAUCCUACUCAGCCCGUAGCAGUGGUGUCAUAUGCUACAUGAGACAAAGGAAGUAUGAAGUUUGAGCUAACGGAGAGGAAAAUAGUUUUGGCAUUAAAUGCAAUGGUUGGUUAAUCUAUAGAGCCAUCCAGAAUAACAUUCUGUAAUGACAAAAAUGUUCUGUGUCAGCAUUGUUUGUUACGGUAGCCGCUAGUCACAAUAUGACAACUGAGCAUUUAAAUGUGGCUAGUGAGUCCGAGGAAGAGAGUUUUUAAGUAUAUAGAAUUUCAGUUUAAACUGUAUUGAACAGCACAAAUUAGAACUACAGGAACCCUAGGCAGCGUAAGGAGGUUUUAUCAAUAUUUAGGUAUCUAAGGCUUCUCCUAGGCUGUAAGGCCUUGUACUCUAGAUACUCAACUUCCAACCACCUCUUGUCAGCCAAGAAAACUCUGAAGCUCUGAAAAGAUAUAUGACUGUUCCAGGUUGACACAGCUGGUUACUAGACCCUAGAUCAUCAGUCAGGGAUUAAAUAUUUUUAUGGCAGCAGUCAUGCCAUUAGAAAUGCUUAACAGGCAGCUGGAGAUAAAUAGCUGUUUGUCAAGGACUGAGAUCAGUGCUGGGGAGUCAGUGCAUGGGUGUGAAAAUGUGGCCGUGAAAAUGGAUACAACAUACAAAGAAAAGAAAAUGGGGCUCCACGUCAAGCCUUGAUAAAUACUGACAUGUAAAUGGAAGGAAAAUAAAAACAAAGCAUAAAAGGAAAUAGAUUUUCAUCUGCCAAUUUUAUACCAACAAUUAGAUAGCCCCAGAUCGCCACCUCCUCAACAUGCUCACAAUUCAUCUCAGACAGGUGGGCACAGUUAAAGAGCGAGAGCCCUUGCUGCCCGCCUCCCCACCACGAGAGAGCUGGCUGCCCACAGCAAGGCACUUAACCUCUCUGUGGUUCCAUCUCCUCCUUUGUCAAAUGGGGUUGAUGACAAGACUUCCGUCAGAAUGCUUUUGAGAUAAAGUGAGAUGCAUGUACAGUACCAGCAAAGCCCUGGCGCAUAAUACAGAUUCUUUAAAUUUUAGAUUGAAAAAAAACUUGUCUCGUCCCCAAUCUUAUUCCUCUUCCCGUGUCCCUGACCUAGGCCAAGAGCCUUGCCCUUCAGCUAGUUGUUCUCUCUGGAAAUCUGAGUCAUCUUUGAUUCCUUCUUCUCCCUUAAUCACCACAUCCAGUAAUUCACCAAGUGUUAUUGAUUCUAGCUGCUCCGUCUUUCAGAUACAGCCACCUCUCUGUAUGCCCUCCACUACAGCUCUCACACACGUCUUCUGCACUUUCUGAAAAAAGCAUCCCUGUUUCCAAUAUGUUUGCUAUACCCAUCCAUUCUCUACACCAGGAUGGGAUUUCUACACCAUAGGAUCUCCAGAGUGGGAUUUUGAAACCUUGAGGUGUCCAGGGGAAGAUUUUAACCCCAAGUCAUUUUGCAGCCUUCCCCAGCAGUUUCUUUUUGCAGACAGGAUUAAGUUGACAUUCCUCAGCAUGGCACUCAAGACCAUUCACAGCCCGCCUGCAAACUACCUCUGUUUACAUAUUUCACCUUUUACUUUGAACCAAGAAUACAUAAAUAGGAACCCAUGCAUUUUAAAAGUUCAAAUGAAUAAUAGUCUUGUGACUCAGUGUGGACCUGGGAGGAAGAAGCAGGGUUUGUUUUUGUUUUUCAGAUUGACGUCUAGGGGAAAAUGUAAAAUUCGCUGUCAAACCUUGCAGAGAGAUUCCUUACCAGCACCUCCUGUUAUUAGGUACUAUUCCAACCCAGCCUUGUGAUUUUCUUCUCUCAUUUUUCAUGGUAGGGAGGUUCCUUUUUCAGUGCCUACAGCUUCAAGCCUGCCUCCUGGAACACACGCUGCGUGUAAUGUGGAUCGUUCCUAGUCUAUGUGAGAAUGAAGUGAAGAGCCCCAUAAAAUAAAGGAUCCCAUUGAAUUGGUUA